GGGAUCCGUCUGCCCUAGAAGAGGGGGCAAGGAAGGAAAACAAAGCUGCAAGCACUGAAGAAUAUUAACAAGAGAAUAAGGUUGCCAGAUUUAACAAAUAAAAAUAUAAAACGCCGGCCAGCUUUUCACUGUGCCCACUGGUCACCCCUUGCUGGGCCUCCAGGGGCCUCAGUAAGGCUGGCCGAGGUACCUGCUGCCCUGCCUGGAACCCACCUCCUUAAGAAUCCUGACUGCCCCACAGGAACCAUGGUGAGGACUUGCUUGCCAGCAGCCAUCAAGGGCUCCUCAGAGAAAUGGCUGAUUCUAGGACUGGGGCAAGAAAUAUACAAGAUAAAUCUACAUAAAGGAAGUACUAAAAAAAAAUCUCCAAAUCCUACAUUAAAGGGACACAGGAGCCAACUGGAAGAGCUCCCAACGGCCAAAGCCAGAACAACUUGAGAAACAAAAUAAAGUAGGGUCGAGUCAUGACCCAUAAUGACA
rnacentral:lncRNA from 1 species